UGCAGGAGUGUGUAACCUAGUCAGAGAGUGAAGACAAACAUAGAAAACAAGGGAAAACAACCCAAGGGGAAAAUAAAUAUGACCAUUGCAACAAGAUAAAAGAUGCCAAAGGUAGAACGUGAUUAAUCAUCCAACAAUUGCAUGGACAGCAAGUCCUCCACCAGAGGAAGAAACCAGGGCUGGAAUGGCCUGAGAAAACUUCAGAGAAGAGAGAAGAUGAGAGCUGGAUCCAGAAAGGUGAUAUUGUUUGGAGAACAGAUAGAAAUGGGAAUAUGAGGCCAGAUGAAGGGAGAGGCCUGGGCGCAGCCAUGGAGGCCAUCAAGUGCAAGGUGACUUGAGAACAGAGCAAAGAGUUUCGGGAGCAGCAUUGGAUUGUUACAAACACAUCCUAUCCAGAAGAGAAAGUGCAACUAUUUCAAUACAGUCUCAUGCUGCAUGUGAUGUUUCAGUGGGCAGAUCACAUCUGUGACAGUGGUUCCGUAGUAUUGUACUGCCUGGUUACAUCACUCCAUGAUACAUGAACAAUGAUGAAAUUACUACUGGGGCAUUUCUCGGAAUGUGUGCCCAUUGUGAAGCAAUGCAUACUUAAUCAUGGAGAAGUGGAUGGAUGCCUCUGGAUUCUGACCACCCAGCCCACCGUGGGAAGAACCUCAGGUCUAGGAUGUCGUCCAAGCAUUUCUGCCAAAGCCAAUCUACCUGGGAAAUGGCAUUGGCUCCCUCCAACAAUUUCAGAAGAGGGGAGGGAAUGCAAACAGGAGAGAUUCCUGUGUCUGCAUCUUUCACCUGCUCCCGGGGCUCCUGUCUUGCAGAGGAGCCUCAAGUUUACACCAGAGAGUAAACAAGAUAGCUAUUUGGACAUCACACACCACUUUGCCAGUUUCCGUCCCCUUGAAUUAUUUACCAUCUAAUUGCACUGAAACAGAAUCUGGACACACAGAGUCAGGAAUGCAGCCUCACUUGCGAGCUGGAGAGGGAAAACUCGAGUUCGGUGAACUUUCUGGAGCAGACACAUGAGGCUUCCAGGAUUUUCUGGCCUAGGGCAGGCUGUGGGCUAGGGGGUGAAACCAUUGCAGCAGUAAAGAGCAAGUCCCUGGCUGCAAGGGGCCCCAGAGCUCACCAAUCUCAUCAUUCUGCCAAGGCCACCAUCUCCCUCCAGGGCUGCAGGCUGGCUUCCAGUCUGGACUUCCCCUCCCUGGCUUUGUCACCCAGAAGCCCCUGAGCCUUGAUCUACAAAAGAGGGUCUGGGUGGAGAAUAGGCCUCUCUUUAGGUUAUAAAAAUGAUUACAGAUUUUAUUUUCACUAUCAUACCAAUCAUUUCCCAUAGGAAGAAAUAUGAAAACAAGAGAAGCAUUUAAAAAAAGUAGUAAACCCAAAAACUUUUCUACGUUUUCUUAGAAAGAAUAUGAGAAAUAAAACUCACUUGUAGACUCACUGCUC